UACAGAGGGUGCAAGCGUUGUCCGGAAUUAUUGGGCGUAAAGAGCUCGUAGGCGGCCUGUUGCGUCCGCUGUGAAAGCCCGGGGCUUAACCCCGGGUCUGCAGUGGAUACGGGCAGGCUAGAGGUAGGUAGGGGAGAAUGGAAUUCCCGGUGUAGCGGUGAAAUGCGCAGAUAUCGGGAGGAACACCGGUGGCGAAGGCGGUUCUCUGGGCCUUACCUGACGCUGAGGAGCGAAAGCGUGGGGAGCGAACAGG
rnacentral:rRNA from 1 species